rnacentral:rRNA from 1 species
AUGCGGGGUCUCGCCGACAUGUUGGCCUCAGUUCGCCAGUCGCUGCAGGAUGAGGAGUUCACCACCUUCGUGCUUAACGGGCUUGAUGAUGAUUAUGACAACCUUGUUGAAAAUGUCCAUGGCCGUGAUGAUCCGCUCCCACCUCAUGAGCUCUAUGCACGACUCCUUGGUCGUGAACAGCGCAUUAAGGCGCGCCACGCCUCCCCCGGUUUCGCCUCCGCCAAUGCCGCGACUCGUGGCAAACCCGCGCGGGCAUCAUCUUCAGGUGGCAGACAAGCGCCGUCUUCACAACCGGCCUCGCGGGGCAAUGGUCUGACCAUCACGUGCGGUAACCGGCCGGUGGCGUGCUGUUCUGCUUGCGGUGCUCCGCAGGCCUGCCAGCUGUGUGGCAUUGAGCGCCACAUUGCCUCUCGCUGUCAUCGUCGCUACAAGCAAGACUUUCUGGGCCUCAGCAACAAUGGCAAAGGGAACGACAAGCAGGCCGCCGCCGCGGUGAAGAGUCAUGAUCAUGGUCGCACUCCGACUUACUCUAUUGACCCUACAUGGUACAUGGACACGAGAGCUACGAACCACCUCACCAACGACAUGGGCAAGCUCUCCACUCAGGAGCCAUAUCGUGGCCAUGAUCAGGUGCACACCGCCAAUGGAGCAGGUAUGCACAUCUCUCAUGUUGGUCAGGCAUCACUUCUUGCACAUAAUUCACGUAAACUGCAUCUUUCUAAUGUUCUUCAUAUUCCCACUGCUUCGCGUAGUUUGUUAUCUGUUCCACAACUUACUCGUGAUAAUAAUGUUCUUGCUGAGUUUUACCCUUUUCAUUUCUUUAUCAAGGAUCAGGACACGAGGGCCGUUCUGCUUAGCGGUCGUCUUCGUGGUGGCUUGUACGCACUUGAUGCGCCAACCGCACCUCCUAUGCAGUUUUCUCCUCAGGCGUUCAGCGGUGUUCGUGUGUCAUCUACACAUUGGCAUGCGCGCCUUGGUCAUCCUGCUGCUCCUAUAGUUCGUCAUGUGUUGCAUCGCCAUAAACUACCAGUUGUGUCAAAUAAAACUGCUGAAACUAUUUUUGAUGCCUAUCAACAGGGCAAGCGUCAUCAACUUCCGUUUUCAGAGUAUAGUCGUGUUGUGAAACAUCCUCUUGAGCUUGUGUUUUCUGAUGUGUGGGGUCAUGCCCAAACAUCUGUCAGUGGCUGA